rnacentral:tRNA from 1 species
GCCGAUGUAGCUCAGUUGGUAGAGCACUCGAUUCGUAAUCGAAAGGCCGUCGGUUCAAAUCCGAUCAUCGGCU